rnacentral:rRNA from 1 species
GAUGAACGCUGGCGGCGUGCCUAAUACAUGCAAGUCGAGCGAACGGACGAGAAGCUUGCUUCUCUGAUGUUAGCGGCGGACGGGUGAGUAACACGUGGAUAGCCUACCUAUAAGACUGGGAUAACUUCGGGAAACCGGAGCUAAUACCGGAUGAUAUUUUGAACCGCAUGGGUCAAAAGUGAAAGACGGUCUUGCUGUCACUUAUAGAUGGAUCCGCGCUGCAUUAGCUAGUUGGUAAGGUAACGGCUUACCAAGGCAACGAUGCAUAGCCGACCUGAGAGGGUGAUCGGCCACACUGGAACUGAGACACGGUCCAGACUCCUACGGGAGGCAGCAGUAGGGAAUCUUCCGCAAUGGGCGAAAGCCUGACGGAGCAACGCCGCGUGAGUGAUGAAGGUCUUCGGAUCGUAAAACUCUGUUAUUAGGGAAGAACAUAUGUGUAAGUAACUGUGCACAUCUUGACGGUACCUAAUCAGAAAGCCACGGCUAACUACGUG